ACUCCUACGGGAGGCAGCAGUGGGAGUAUUGCAUCAAUGGCAGGCAAGCAUGCAUGCAGCCAUGCCGCGUGUGUGAAGAAGGCCUCGGGUUGUAAAGCACUUUCAGUCGUGAGGAAGGUGGUGUUGUUAAUAGCAGCAUCAUUUGACGUUAGCGACAGAAGAAGCACCGGCUAACUCCGUGCCAGCAGCCGCGGUAAUACGGAGGGUGCGAGCGUUAAUCGGAAUUACUGGGCGGUAAAGCGCAUGCAGGUGGUUUGUUAAGUCAGAUGUGAAAGCCGG
rnacentral:rRNA from 1 species